UACGUAGGGUGCAAGCGUUGUCCGGAAUUAUUGGGCGUAAAGAGCUCGUAGGCGGUCUGUCGCGUCGGAUGUGAAAAUCCAGGGCUUAACCCUGGACCUGCAUUCGAUACGGGCAGACUAGAGUUCGGUAGGGGAGACUGGAAUUCCUGGUGUAGCGGUGAAAUGCGCAGAUAUCAGGAGGAACACCGGUGGCGAAGGCGGUGAUCUGGGCCGACACUGACGCUGUAGAGCGAAAGCGUGGGGAGCGAACAGG
rnacentral:rRNA from 1 species